rnacentral:rRNA from 1 species
UACGAAGGGGGCUAGCGUUGCUCGGGAUCACUGGGCGUAAAGGGUGCGUAGGCGGGUCUUUAAGUCAGGGGUGAAAUCCUGGAGCUCAACUCCAGAACUGCCUUUGAUACUGAAGAUCUUGAGUCCGGGAGAGGUGAGUGGAACUGCGAGUGUAGAGGUGAAAUUCGUAGAUAUUCGCAAGAACACCAGUGGCGAAGGCGGCUCACUGGCCCGGUACUGACGCUGAGGCACGAAAGCGUGGGGAGCAAACAGG